UCCUUGUUUCGCUAAAAAAAAAAAUCUCCUCCUCCUGUCGCAAUGGCACGGCGGGCCACAUCCCCCCACAUCGUCGCCUCAGCCGCGGCGCCCUCCCGUCGGCCGCAAUGCCGCUUUUUAGCCCCCCACCCCCCAGCGGCCCCCGCGCGCCGUCCCUCCUCGGCACCGGCUUCGCCAAGGUUAGGGGACGGACUGGACGCGGGUGGGCGUCGCCGGAGACGACGAGGAAGCGGCUGGCCUCGAGCCCUCGACCCUCGACCGCUAUCGUGGGAGGUCGUCUCACCGUGCCCUCACGGGCUGAGGCCCGGGGAGGCAAGUGUAGCCCCGAGUAACGCGUCUCUGGGAAGGGCUAGGAAGAUAUGGGCGGUGAUGAGGCUGGAUCUUGCUCGAGGAGGCCAGGGUCGGAGCCGCGUCGGAGUCCCAGUGCCUGGCGGCGAGACUUAUAGAUGGCGAGAUAUGAAGAAUAUAUGGACGCAGAUUCUUGGAGCAUUGGUAAGAUUGAAGAUCUUGUGCAGGGACACUCUUUUGCUAGUGAUGGGUCGAUGCACAAGAUCGCCUGGCUACAUUUCAAGACCUUAGGUGAAGACUGACUAUUGUGUGCCUUCGCAUGAAACUGCAGUGUAUGGAUUCCCGUCAUACCCUGCGUUGCACUUGCAGAGAUAGCCAACUCCCCUGGGCGCGUCGAUGCAGUCACUCAGACUGUUGCAGAGUGACAUCAAGUUGUAGGUUAAGGCCUGGUCGCACGUGCCCUGCCCAACUGCCCAAUCCAAGAUCAUCCCGUGGUCACCAACCGGCAACAGCGGGUCUUUCAGCGGAUCCUGCCCACCCUUGAAGACUUGCUCGUCUUGGUCGUAGAAGAACGCAGCGCUGCAAGUGCCGUUCUCGUCAGCAGUGAAUU